UACGAAGGGGGCUAGCGUUGCUCGGAAUCACUGGGCGUAAAGCGCACGUAGGCGGGUCCUUAAGUCAGGGGUGAAAUCCUGGAGCUCAACUCCAGAACUGCCCUUGAUACUGAGGAUCUCGAGUUCGGGAGAGGUGAGUGGAACUGCGAGUGUAGAGGUGAAAUUCGUAGAUAUUCGCAAGAACACCAGUGGCGAAGGCGGCUCACUGGCCCGGAACUGACGCUGAGACGCGAAAGCGUGGGGAGCAAACAGG
rnacentral:rRNA from 1 species